UACGUAGGGACCAAGCGUUGUUCGGAUUUAUUGGGCGUAAAGAGCUCGUAGGCGGUGUGUCGCGUCGGCCGUGAAAACCUGCAGCUUAACUGUGGGCUUGCGGUCGAUACGGGCAUCACUGGAGUUCGGCAGGGGAGACUGGAAUUCCUGGUGUAGCGGUGAAAUGCGCAGAUAUCAGGAGGAACACCGGUGGCGAAGGCGGGUCUCUGGGCCGAUACUGACGCUGAGGAGCGAAAGCGUGGGGAGCGAACAGG
rnacentral:rRNA from 1 species